GGGACCCGCACAAGCGGUGGAUGAUGUGGAUUAAUUCGAUGCAACGCGAAAAACCUUACCUACCCUUGACAUGCCUGGAAUCCUGAAGAGAUUUGGGAGUGCCCGAAAGGGAACCGGGACACAGGUGCUGCAUGGCUGGCGUCAGCUCGUGUCGUGAGAUGUUGGGUUAAGUCCCGCAACGAGCGCAACCAUUGUCGAUAAUUGCCAUCAUUUAGUUGGGCACUUUAGCGAGACUGCCGGUGACAAACCGGAGGAAGGUGGGGAUGACGUCAAGUCCUCAUGGCCCUUAUGGGUAGGGCUUCACACGUCAUACAAUGGUCGGUACAGAGGGUCGCCAACCCGCGAGGGGGAGCCAAUCCCAGAAAGCCGAUCGUAGUCCGGAUUGGAGUCUGCAACUCGACUCCAUGAAGUCGGAAUCGCUAGUAAUCGUGGAUCAGCAUGCCACGGUGAAUACGUUCCCGGGUCUUGUACUAAACCGGCCCA
rnacentral:rRNA from 1 species